AGUGAACGCUGGCGGUAGGCCUAACACAUGCAAGUCGAACGGCAGCACAGUAAGAGCUUGCUCUUACGGGUGGCGAGUGGCGGACGGGUGAGGAAUACAUCGGAAUCUACUUUUUCGUGGGGGAUAACGUAGGGAAACUUACGCUAAUACCGCAUACGACCUACGGGUGAAAGCAGGGGAUCUUCGGACCUUGCGCGAUUGAAUGAGCCGAUGUCGGAUUAGCUAGUUGGCGGGGUAAAGGCCCACCAAGGCGACGAUCCGUGGCUGGUCUGAGAGGAUGAUCAGCCACACUGGAACUGAGACACGGUCCAGACUCCUACGGGAGGCAGCAGUGGGGAAUAUUGGACAAUGGGCGCAAGCCUGAUCCAGCCAUACCGCGUGGGUGAAGAAGGCCUUCGGGCUGUAAAGCCCUUUUGUUGGGAAAGAAAAGCAGCAGGUUAAUACCCCGCUGUUCUGACGGUACCCAAAGAAUAAGCACCGGCUAACUUCGUG
rnacentral:rRNA from 1 species